GGCCCCAGUAAGGCGGCCACACAGGGCGCCUGAUUUAAAGCAAACAUUUUUUAUUUGUGCUUGGGCAAUGAGCAGUUAUUCGUAAUGGUGCCUGGUCAAGUACUAAAGACCCGUGCAGAUCAACUGGCUGGAGUGUUCACUGAGAUCUUUGGUUUGGCAGUCUGAGACAACAAUGAAACAAAGGAAGUCCUGGAGCCUGUUCAAAGAGAAACAUCAGCCUCAGACAUGCAAAAGAAGACUACAUCGUGCAAACGGCAUAAAAAAAAAGCAAGAAACACAGAAUAUAAAACACAAAAUCAAAAUAGUCCAGGCAUAGUUCAGCUCAGUUUUUAUUAUCUACAGGCUGCCCCAAUUCAAAAUUAUCCAAAAUAGCAAUGAAAAAAGGAGUGACCAGAACCACAAACACAUCAUAAGUGACCAAUGCCCAAGACCCAGAACUCCAGCACCAACCUCCGGUAGCAUCGAGGGAGAGAGAGAAAGCAGCAAGUGAGAGGGAGAGAGAGGCUGUCACACGCAGACACCUACUUCCACCAGCACCGAGCGGGAGGCUGGUAGAUCGCAUUGAAUACCCCCUCACCUGACUUGCCUUGAUGGUUCCCAUCUUCCUUGGCACUUUAAUUGGCAAGUUUGGCGAGAAAUGGAGUUGAUCAUGGGGUUGAGACCUGUCUCCAGGCUUCUUGGCCUUGAGGCCGCAUACCUACAGGAACACCCUGGGAGACAGCCAACUACCAGAUCGCUCAAUCGGCCCGAAAACACACCACCAAAAUGUAAAUUACAGGCCCCAACAGUGGCAACACUAUCUUGACAGAAAAAGAAGAUGUAAAAGAAGUGAAAGAAGUCAUUUUGUGAAUUGUUUGGAGCAUGUUCCCUUAGCUGCAUUGUUUGCUGGCACUACUGUCUUCUGGCUUCAAGCAGGCUUCUGUUAUACUGGUACCUAAGAAGAACGUGGUAUCCUGCCUCAGUGACUAUGGUCCAGUCACACUUACGUCCACGGUGCUGAAGUGUUUUGAGAGAAAGUACACACAAAAUCUGGCUGGCAGGCCUGACUGCAGCUAAGAAGAUUGUCGUCCAGCGUUGGAAACCUCCUCAUGAUAUUUCAAGUACUCACCGGCUUCGGAGCUUUUUGGACAUUUCUUACCUGGAAUUAUCAUCAGCAAGAAUAAAUGAUGCACGACCAAACACAAUCUUAAU